rnacentral:rRNA from 1 species
UAUGGCCAUACCACCCUAAAUGUGCCCAGUCUUAUCUGAUCUCAGAAACUAAACAGGGGGCCUGGUUAGUACUUGGAUGGAAAAAGUCUGGUUAGCAUCAUUUACACUUUAGUGAAAGGCAAGAAAAAUCCAUGC